GACAGAGGGUGCGAACGUUGCUCGGAAUCAUUGGGCGUAAAGCGCGUGUAGGCGGCAUCGCACGUCGGGUGUGAAAGCCCGGGGCUCAACCCCGGCAGUGCACCCGAAACGACGAUGCUAGAGUGCUGGAGAGGCGGGUGGAAUUCCCGGUGUAGAGGUGAAAUUCGUAGAUAUCGGGAGGAACACCGGUGGCGAAGGCGACCCGCUGGCCAGCGACUGACGCUGAGACGCGAAAGCGUGGGGAGCAAACAGG
rnacentral:rRNA from 1 species